UUCACAUUGGGUAGGGGAGCGUUCUGUAAGCCGUUGAAGGUGCAUUGUAAAGUGUGCUGGAGGUAUCAGAAGUGCGAAUGCUGACAUGAGUAACGAUAAAGGGAGUGAAAAACUCCCUCGCCGGAAGAUCAAGGGUUCCUGUCCAACGUUAAUCGGGGCAGGGUAAGUCGACCCCUAAGGCGAGGCCGAAAGGCGUAGUCGAUGGGAAACGGGUUAAUAUUCCCGUACUUCUUAUAAUUGCGAUGGAGGGACGGAGAAGGCUAGGUGAGCCUGGCGACGGUUGUCCAGGUCCAAGUAUGUAGGCUGAUGAAUUAGGCAAAUCCGGUUCAUCUUAAGGCUGAGAUACGAUGUCGAGCUACUACGGUAGUGAAGUCAUUGAUGCCAUGCUUCCGGGAAAAGCUUCUAAGCUUCAGAUUAUAAGAAAUCGUACCCCAAACCGACACAGGUGAUCAGGUAGAGAAUACCAAGGCGCUUGAGAGAACUCGGGUGAAGGAACUAGGCAAAAUGGUACCGUAACUUCGGGAGAAGGUACGCUCCUAGCGGUGAUGAGACUUGCUCUCUAAGCUGCCGGGAGUCGCAGAUACCAGGUGGCUGCAACUGUUUAUUAAAAACACAGCACUGUGCAAAAUCGAAAGAUGACGUAUACGGUGUGACGCCUGCCCGGUGCCGGAAGGUUAAUUGAUGGGGUUAGACUUCGGUCGAAGCUCUUGAUCGAAGCCCCGGUAAACGGCGGCCGUAACUAUAACGGUCCUAAGGUAGCGAAAUUCCUUGUCGGGUAAGUUCCGACCUGCACGAAUGGCGUAAUGAUGGCCACGCUGUCUCCACCCGAGACUCAGUGAAAUUGAAAUCGCAGUGAAGAUGCUGUGUACCCGCGGCUAGACGGAAAGACCCCGUGAACCUUUACUAUAGCUUGGCACUGAACAUUGACCCUACAUGUGUAGGAUAGGUGGGAGACGUUGAAGCAACCGCGCCAGUGGUUGUGGAGUCAAUCUUGAAAUACCACCCUUGUAUGCUUGAUGUUCUAACGUUGGCCCCUUAUCGGGGUUACGGACAGUGCCUGGUGGGUAGUUUGACUGGGGCGGUCUCCUCCCAAAGAGUAACGGAGGAGCACGAAGGUGGGCUAAUCACGGUCGGACAUCGUGAGGUUAGUGCAAUGGCAUAAGCCCGCUUGACUGCGAGAAUGACAAUUCGAGCAGGUGCGAAAGCAGGUCAUAGUGAUCCGGUGGUUCUGAAUGGAAGGGCCAUCGCUCAACGGAUAAAAGGUACUCCGGGGAUAACAGGCUGAUACCGCCCAAGAGUUCAUAUCGACGGCGGUGUUUGGCACCUCGAUGUCGGCUCAUCACAUCCUGGGGCUGAAGUCGGUCCCAAGGGUAUGGCUGUUCGCCAUUUAAAGUGGUACGCGAGCUGGGUUUAGAACGUCGUGAGACAGUUCGGUCCCUAUCUGCCGUGGGCGUUGGAUGAUUGAGAGGGGCUGCUCCUAGUACGAGAGGACCGGAGUGGACGAACCGCUGGUGUUCGGGUUGUAUCGCCAGAUGCAUUGCCCGGUAGCUAAGUUCGGAAUCGAUAACCGCUGAAAGCAUCUAAGCGGGAAGCGAGCCUCAAGAUGAGUCAUCCCUAGACCUUUAAGGUCUCUAAAGGGUUGUUGAAGACUACAACGUUGAUAGGUCAGGUGUGUAAGUGCUGCGAGGCAUUGAGCUAACUGAUACUAAUUGCCCGUGAGGCUUAACCAUACAACACCCAAGGGGUUU
rnacentral:rRNA from 1 species